UUCGUGUCGCGGGAGGAAAGUCCGGGCAGCACAGAGUCACCAUACUUCCUAACAGGAAGGGACGCAUGCCGUAAGGCCUGCGCCACAGCAAGUGCCACAGAAAAUAUACCGCCUUCGGGUAAGGGUGAAAACGCGAGGCAAGAGCUCACGACGCGAGGUAGUGAUAUCUCAUGGUGGUAAACCUUAUGGGCUGAAAAACCAAAUAUACCGACAGUUAAGGGUUGACUCGUCCGUUGUCGGGGGGUGGGUUGAUUGAGGCAGCCGGUGACGGUUGUCCUAGAUUAAUGAUAGAGGUCUGGCAGCAAUGCCAUUCACAGAACCCGGCUUAUACGUUGC
rnacentral:RNase_P_RNA from 1 species